GAGGUGAGUGCGAGCACAAUUGUAUUGUGGUCGGUCAUCUUACACGUCCCGCUUGUGCUUUACAGCGGCACCGGAGGCGGCCAGAUUACGGGUUACCGCGGCCGCGUCGUGCUUGACAGGGACCGCGCGGGUCGACAGUACGCGAGGCCCAAAGUUCGGGUGAUCUGAAUCGGUGAGCCCUGCUCCAGCUGCUGAUGGUGUGGCUGAAGAGGAUGUGGCCCAGGAUCUUCCCCGUGCCCCAACACCUCAUGCCGCAGCUGCGAGAUGUGGGCAACCGGCAGGCCAAGGCGCUGGAGUUACUAGCCGCAAACACCAGGCGGCAGGGCCAGGCAUCAUUGGAAAGCUGCGCCAGGUUCAGCU